rnacentral:rRNA from 1 species
AGAGCAUAGGGUGGAUGCCUUGGCACCAAGAGCCGAUGAAGGACGUGAUAAGCUGCGAAAAGCUGUGAGGAGGAGCAAAUAUCCAUUAUAUUCACAGAUAUCCGAAUGAGGGAACUCAUCUAGUGAAAAAAGACUAGAUAUCCAUACAUGAGUAAAGUAGUGUAUGUGAAGGGAACGUAGGGAACUGAAACAUCUUAGUACCUACAGGAAAAGAAAGAAAACUCGAUUCCUUGAGUAGUGGCGAGCGAAAGAGGAAGAGCCUAAACCAUUGGGAGUAAUCCUGAUGGGGUUAUGGACUACAUAAUUGAUUCUAAAGACUUAGCAGAAUUACUUGGGAAAGUAAACCAGAGAUAGUGAAAGUCUAGUAAGCGAAAAGUCAGAAGACAUGGUAGUAUCCGAAGUAGUGCGGAGCACGUGGAAUUCCGUAUGAACAAGUGGGGACCACCCCAUAAGGCUAAAUACUACUUGGUGACCGAUAGUGAAGCAGUACCGUGAGGGAAAGGUGAAAAGAACCCCGGGAGGGGAGUGAAAGAGAACCUGAAACCCUAUGUUUACAAGCAGUGGGAGCGCAAGCGACCAUGUACUUUUUGUAGAACGGGCCGGCGAGUUACUGUGUGUAGCGAGGUUAAGGUGUAGAGCACCGGAGCCGUAGCGAGAGCGAGUCUCAAAUGGGCGAAUAGUUGCAUACAGUAGACCCGAAACCGGGUGACCUAUCCAUGGACAGGAUGAAGCGGUGGUAAAGCACCGUGGAGGUCCGAACCACACGUAUGUUGAAAAAUGCGGGGAUGAGCUGUGGAUAGCGGAGAAAUUCCAAUCGAACUCGGAGAUAGCUGGUUCUCCCCGAAAUAGCUUUAGGGCUAGCCUCGAUUUAGAUUACCGGGGGUAGAGCACUGAAUGGGCUAGGGGGCCACAAAGCUUACCGAACCCUAUCAAACUUCGAAUACCGGAUAAUUGAUGAUCGGGAGUCAGACAGUGUGAGAUAAGUUUCAUUGUCGAAAGGGAAACAGCCCAGAUCUACGACUAAGGUCCCAAAGUUCAAGUUAAGUGGAAAAGGAUGUGCAAUUGCGUAGACAACCAGGAUGUUGGCUUAGAAGCAGCCAUUCAUUCAAAGAGUGCGUAAUAGCUCACUGGUCGAGUGAAGUUGCGCGGAAAAUUACCGGGGCUAAACUAUACACCGAAAUUGCGGAUUUGUACGUAAGUACAAGUGGUAGAGGAGCAUUCUAUAGUAGGAUGAAGCAUAAUCGAAAGGAUAUGUGGACGAGAUAGAAGAGAGAAUGCCGGAAUAAGUAGCGAAAGCAUGGUGAGAAUCCAUGCCAUCGAAAGUCUAAGGUUUCCUGGGGAAGGUUCGUCCGCCCAGGGUAAGUCGGGACCUAAGGAGAGGCCGAAAGGCGUAUCCGAUGGACAGCAGGUUGAGAUUCCUGCACCACUGAUAUACUUAAAAGAUGCAAGGGACACAGAAGUGGAAGGAAAGCGAGGAAGAGGAAAAACUCGUAUCGAAAGAUAUAGUGAAAAAUAAGUAACGAAUUUCCAAGAAGCACACUGGCGAGAAAAGCUUGUAGAUAUUGUAUAUAAGUGCCCGUACCGCAAACCGACACAGGUAGAUGAGGAGAGGAUCCUAAGAUGAGCGAGAGAAGCAUUGUUAAGGAACUCGGCAAAUUGACCCCGUAACUUAGGGAGAAGGGGUGCCAAGGUAACACUUGGCCGCAGUGAAUAGGCCCAAGCAACUGUUUAACAAAAACACAGGUUUCUGCAAAAUCGAAAGAUGAAGUAUAGGAGCUGACGCCUGCCCAGUGCUGGAAGGUUAAGGGAAAGAGUUAGGAGUAAUCCGAAGCUUAGAACUAAAGCCCCAGUGAACGGCGGCCGUAACUAUAACGGUCCUAAGGUAGCGAAAUUCCUUGUCAGGUAAGUUCUGACCCGCACGAAAGGCGUAAUGAUUUGGGCACUGUCUCGACAAUGUACCCGGCGAAAUUGUAGUACUAGUGAAGAUGCUAGUUACCUGCGACAAGACAGAAAGACCCCAUGGAGCUUUACUGUAGCUUGAUACUGGGUUUUGAUAAUUUAUGUACAGGAUAGGUGGGAUGCAAAGAAACUAGAGCGCCAGCUUUAGCGGAGCAAACCUUGGGAUACCACCCUUAAAUUAUUGAAAUUCUAACCUGUGAUCAUGAACUGGUCAGGGGACAAUGUCAGGUGGGCAGUUUGACUGGGGCGGUCGCCUCCAAAAGAGUAACGGAGGCGCGCAAAGGUUUCCUCAGCGCGGACAGAAAUCGCGCGAAAGAGUGCAAAGGCAGAAGG